AUGAACGCUGGCGGCGUGUCUAAGGCAUGCAAGUCGAGUGGGUUUAGACCCACGGCAAACGGGUGCGUAACACAUUGGUAAUCUACCUCCAACUUGAGCAUAACUCCGCGAAAGCGGAGAUAAUUCUCAAUAAUCAUGAGGGGACGCAAGUCAUUCUCAUGUAAAGAUUUAUCGGUUGGAGAGGAGCCUAUGGCCUAUCAGCUAGUUGGUGAGGUAAUGGCUCACCAAGGCAACGACGGGUAGCGGGUGUGAGAGCACGACCCGCCUCACUGGGACUGAGACACUGCCCAGACUCCUACGGGAGGCUGCAGUCAAGAAUCUUCCCCAGUGCGCGAAAGCGUGAGGGGGCGACGCCGCGUGCAGGAAGAAGGCCUUCGGGUCGUAAACUGCUUUUGUAGAGGACGAAUUUCUGACGGUACUCUGCGAAUAAGAGGUUGCUAACUCUGU
rnacentral:rRNA from 1 species